rnacentral:lncRNA from 1 species
GAAAAUGCCAUUGGUUAAUGCAAACAUUAAGAAUUAAAAUUAUUAAUUAAAUAAGGAUAAUAUGGUAAAUUCACACUUUUUCAUAUUAAAAAAAUUAAAAUUAAAAGAAAAAUCAGAUAAUGGAUUAUAUUAUUAUGGAACACAACUACCCAUUAUCUUUUUUAAUUCUAAAAAUUAAAUAAAAAAUAAAAAGAAAAAUAAAUUGG